UGUGGGAGCUGGCUUGCCUGCGAUGCAGGCAACUCGGUUUUUCAGUGGCACCGCGGCCAUGCUAUCGCAGGCAAGCCAGCUCCCACA
rnacentral:misc_RNA from 1 species